rnacentral:lncRNA from 1 species
AUUUUACUUUCAAGCAUUUUAAUUUUUAUUACACCUUAUUUCUGCAUCUUAGAGUUGCAUAACUACUAGAUCAGAUACCUGGUACCAACAUCCUACUUUCCCACCCAACACCAAUAUGGAUCCCAAUAUAGCAGCCAUCAUUAAUGCUCUGAUUGAAAAGUUUAAUGACAUAAAAAAUUUUAUGAAAGCCAUGGAUAAGAGAAUAGUGGUAUUAGAAGAAGCUAGGCAGAAACAACCUGAACCCGAGUCUCCCCGACUACCUAUAGGACAAAGAGGUAAGAAUUUAGAACUUGAUCGACCUAUAGAGGCAUGCCCGCACCAUAACCAGUUUGAUCAAAAUGAGCAUAUUCUUAGGAAUGUGAAGGUCAAAGCCUCAAGUUUUGAUGGUUGUCUAGAUCCGAGAGAGUACCUAGAUUGAAAAUCAGGUAUGGACCACUAUUUUGGAUGGUACAAAAUAUCUGAAGUAAGGAG